UUAUAGUUUGGUUCCACUAAAUGUAUGUUAAGAUAUCUAAUGUAAAAAACCUUAUGUCCUAAGAAAAAGAAAAAAAUGUAAUUCUAAAAAUGUGUGGAUUUGUUUGAUUCAAAUUCAACCAGACAUGAAAUUUAAUAAUUUAAUACUGUGAAUUUAUGGUUAAAAUUGUAAGAGAAAUGUAUGUUUAAGGUUAAAAAUGGAAUUAGUCAUUAAGAUAAAUUAUUAACUUUGAACCAAAUGUCUAAAAUGUAUGUUAAAAUAUUUUGUAUGCAUUUUGUAGGUUUUUCACCUGUUCAUUGAUUCUCACUCAUUGGUGAAAAUAAAAAAGAUUGAG